GGAGCACAGGUUUACCUGUGUGACUGCGUACCUUUUGUAUAAUGGGUCAGCGACUUAUAUUCUGUAGCAAGGUUAACCGAAUAGGGGAGCCGGAGGGAAACCGAGUCUUAAUUGGGCGUUAAGUUGCAGGGUAUAGACCCGAAACCCGGUGAUCUAGCCAUGGGCAGGUUGAAGGUUGGGUAACACUAACUGGAGGACCGAACCGACUAAUGUUGAAAAAUUAGCGGAUGACCUGUGGCUGGGGGUGAAAGGCCAAUCAAACCGGGAGAUAGCUGGUUCUCCCCGAAAGCUAUUUAGGUAGCGCCUCGUGAAUUCAUCUCCGGGGGUAGAGCA
rnacentral:rRNA from 1 species